ensembl:ncRNA F13B12.14 ncRNA
CCGUUAUCUGGUUGACCUGGCAACAUGAUCGUGCCAAUAGACACGUACAUUUGCAUAUCGACCGUUUCUUGCUUGUAGACCCGUUC